CACAACUCUUUACAGUGUAGAUUAAUUGUAACUUAAGUAUGCACCCUUGGAGAAGCUUCUCAGACAUUGCGACUUUGUAAAAUCAGUUCAUAUACAUCUUUAAUCUAAGCGCUGCAUCAAUUAUUUCUCUUUGUCAUCAACCGCAAAUACUCUUCAUCAUCUUAAUAUUUAUUUGUACUGAUCAUCAUAGCCACUAAUCUUAUUAAAAAUUCCGCUUGCAAGGAAUAAUUUGGUGUUUCCUAAGUCCGACCAACACACCAACAUUUACCAACCUUUCUUUGCACAGCACAAUACAAGAUGCAAAAAAACAAAACCAAAAAAUGUGAUAAUUAGGUGUCCCUUAAGCGCUUCAGGUCUUUUGAAACAUAGAUCAACCCUUUCUUCCCUUUUAUGUGUUUUUCAUGUAUGCAUUUCCUAAGUCCGACCAACACACCAACAUUUACCAACCUUUCUUUGCACAGCACAACACGAGAUGCAAAAAAACAAAACCGAGAAAAUGUGAUAAUUAGGUGUCCCUUAAGUGCUUCAGGUCUUUUGAAACAUGGAUCAACCAUUUCUUUUCUUUUAUGUGUUUUUCAUGUAUGCAUUUCCAAAGCGCACAGAUCUCUUUCUCUAAGAAUUGACUGUCAUGUUGCCACUCUUUCGUUUGUGAUCUGAUUGUCCCUCUAUCAAAUAUCCUAUGAAUAAAUCAUGACAUAACCUAUCACAGUAACACAUAUAAUACAUAG
rnacentral:lncRNA from 1 species